AUGAGCUCCCAGAUUUAUCAGAAUUAUUCCAUUGAGGUGGAGGCAGCCAUCAACCACCUGGUCAAUUUGUACUUGUGGAUCUUCUAAACCUAUUUCUCUCUGGGCUUCUAUUUUGACCAUGAUGAUGUGGCUCUGGAAGGCAUGGGCCACUUCUGCAAAUCAGCUGAGGAGAAGCAUGAGAGCACCGAGCAUCGCUCAAAGAUACAAAACCAGUGUGGCAGCAUGCUGUCUUCCAGGACAUCCAGAAACCGGCUCAAGAUAAGUGGGGUACAACUUUGGAUGCCAUGGAAGCCACAAUGCCCUUGGAGAAAAAUCUGAACUAGGCCAUUUUGGAUCUUCAUGCCCUCAGUUCUGGCUACACAGAUCCCCAUCUCUGUGACUUCCUGGAGAGUCACUUCCUAGAUGAGGAAGUUAAACUCAUCAAGAAGAUGGGUGACCACCUGACCAACCUCCACAGGCUGCACAGGCUGGCUGGCCUGGAGGCUGGGCUGGCGAGUAUCUCUUUGAAAGGCUCACCUUCAAGUACAACUAG
rnacentral:lncRNA from 10 species